GAUGAAGAACGCAGCGAAAUGCGAUAAGUAAUGUGAAUUGCAGAAUUCAGUGAAUCAUCGAAUCUUUGAACGCACAUUGCGCCCGCCAGUAUUCUGGCGGGCAUGCCUGUUCGAGCGUCAUUACAACCCUCAGGCCCCCGGGCCUGGCGUUGGGGAUCGGCGGAAGCCCCCUGUGGGCACACGCCGUCCCUCAAAUACAGUGGCGGUCCCGCCGCAGCUUCCAUUGCGUAGUAGCUAACACCUCGCAACUGGAGAGCGGCGCGGCCAUGCCGUAAAACACCCAACUUCUGAAUGUUGACCUCGAAUCAGGUAGGAAUACCCGCUGAACUUAAGCAUAUCAAUAAGCGGAUGA
rnacentral:misc_RNA from 1 species